ensembl:lncRNA
AAAUAUAUAUAUUAUAUUCUAAUAUUUAAUAACAUUGUCGGAUCUUUACCUAACUACAGCUCCCAGAAUGCUUUGGGGCACUAAGCGGAUAUACAAUUGUGAGGUCAGAGUUCAUUGUGGGGGUUUCAAUUUUCCAAACUCCUGUCGCCAUGUGGCCAUGGUUUACACGCGUUAUUCUUUGUCGUUGUAGGAUUAUUUAGUGUCUGUGGAUCUUCUGGUUGUUUGUUUGAAACAAAUAAAUAAAAAAUGGACGCGAGUUCAUCAAAGCACGAACUGACGCAGCUGAUCUACCAACACCUGAAGGAGCAUGGCUUCAGUUCAGCAGCAGAUGAGCUUCGGAGGCACAGCCCACAGGAGGGCACAGAAACGUCUGUGUCCUUACUGGAUAUCUACAAAGCAUGGCGUAGAAACUCCAAAAGGAAGCAAAACUCAGUUAAACGCUCCACUUCAGGGAAGAAAAAAGAAGCUCCAGCUGCAGGUUUGUGCUUUUUAUAAUCAUUUAGAGUUUAGACACUUAAAGCAGAGUCUGAAUUACUGAUGUGUUAUACUAAAAUAAUUCUAGUACCAAAGUUGUGUAAAAAUAUCCAUGUCUAAACUUGGACAAUAACAUUUAAUCUUUGUGAAAAUGUUCAAGCUCUCAGUGUUACAAUUUUUUGACAUAUAUUAUUAUCUUGAUUUGUCCAGACAAAUCCACGUCACCAAGAAAGACGACUGGCAGUCCUGCAAAAAAGGUGAGUUUUGAUGAUCUUGUUUAUUUUUUUAUUUCUGUUUGAGUUUGUCAUUUUCCUCUGCUCUGUUCUUUAUCCUUUCUUUAAAAGACUGUUAAAGCAAAACAGAAGAAAAAUGAAGGAAAAACUUCCAAAGAUGGCAGCAUCUCAAAAAAAUCAGAGUCUGGCUCAACGGUUGAGGGUUCAGACUCUGACAGCAGUCUGGAUGUAGAGAAGUGGAAAAAGAUGGUCCUGCAGAUGACGGAGGCCGAUUUGGCCAAGAUGGAGCUCAUCGACGCUCUGGACUCCUCCAAACCCAAGAAAAAGAGAGUCAGAAAGCCCAGAGCAAAGCCUGUGGCAAAAACCCACACUCCCAGUGAGCAGAAUGCUGAUCUGGACACAAAGGAAGAAACCACCACGACACCAGUGAAAAAAAGCACACCAAGGAGGAGAAAAUCUGCAGUUCUGUCCUCUGAAACACUGAACAGCCAUGCUGUGGAGGACAUAGCUGUUGCUCUCUCACCAUCAAAACAAGCUGAAGACGAAGUUAACAGGCCAGCUGAAACGGCAGCUGAGCCCAGGAAAAAGAAAAGAGACAGAUCGAGUGAAAGCAAGUUAAAAAAGAAAACCCAUGAGAUGGAUGGAGAAGAACAGAAGAGCGAUGGAAAGGAGAGUGUAGCCACAGAACUAAAGAAGGACCAUAAAUCUGUGGAGGAGAAUAAAGAAGUUCAAGUAACAAACAUAGAAUUUGAAGAUGAUCUCAUGGGAAAUAAAGGAGCCAAAGAAAAUGUUUUAGAGUCUAUUUUGAAAGAAAAGAAAGACAAAAAGAGGAAAAAAGAAAGAAAUGAUGAGGAGGAACCAUUAGCUCAUGGAGACGAAGAAAAAAGGGUUAAAAAGAAGAAGAAAAAGAAGAGAGUUGAAAAUGAGGGAGACCCCACUGAGAAAACAAAAGAAAGUGCUGAGCAGGGCUUAGAAAAUGAAAACAUAGUAGACGAAAAGUCUGAGAGUGUUGAAAACAAGAAUGUAAAGAAGAAAAAGAAAUUAGUCGACGCAGAGAUCGGUUCUGAUCAUCCGGAUUUAGAAAAUACAGAAAAAAAUGAUCAAAGCCAGAAAGUAAAGAAGAAGAAGAAAAGAUUAAUCAAUACUGAGAUCAGUUCAGAUGAUCCAGUUACUGAAAAUGUGGAGCAAAAUGUUGAAGAACAUGCUGGAAAUGUGGAAGUGAAGAAGAAGAAGAAAAAAAACAAGACUGUUGAAAAUGAGGAAAAUCCAGAGCAUGUGGCUAAAGAAAAGAAGACAAAGAAGAAAAAACGAGAAGCUCAGGUUCAUGAGGACUCUGAGAUUUCUGAAGAAACGAUCAAGAAAACAAAAAAGGUUAAAAAACACACCGAUAAUGAGACGUCUGAGCAAGCAAAUGAAGACGACCAAACAACAAAUGAGACCAAAGGGAAGGCAAAGAUCUCAGAUGAAACAGAACCAUCUGCUCCCAGCCUGGAGACGAGUGCUCAGAAAAAGAAGAAAAAGAAAAACAAAGAGAAACCAGAGGACGUCCAAGAUGCUUCAGCAACAGAAGCUACGCCAAUAUCCGUCAGCAGCCACAAAAAGAAAAGAAAAUUAUGGAGCGGUGAAGAUGAGGUCCCUAUCACCGAGCAACCAUGAUGCCACUCAGUUUCUGUCCUUUUUUAACCAAGUUUUGAUCCUGUAAAUACAAUUGAACACUUUUAUUUUAAAAUCUUCUGUUUUUUUUGCAUGUUUUAAAUUGUACAUUUUUUGUCAGAUGCUUUUUAUGGAACUUGUGAUUUUAGUGGACGGACAGCAUGAAGAUCUGCUGGUAUUUAUGAGGUUAUUUUCCCUCCUGCUUCAGUCCGAUGCUCAGACUGGAGUCUUUACCACUGAAACAGCUCUUUGUAAAGGUUUUUAGAGUUAUUAGAACAAAUGUUUUUGUCUGUUUUCCAUGAAAAUCUAAAUGUUUUUUACAUUUACGGAAAUGAAAAUAGAUUUUUUUUAAAGAUUUUCUAUUUUUAAUACAUUUUUAGCAACACUUUGAUGGAAUAUAUUGCUUUGUUUAUCAACAAGUAUUGCCCCUCUUCUUUUUCAAAUGUGCAUUCUAUGAAACCUGUGAUUGUAUUACUUUAGCAGGGUGCUGCCAUUUAAGCAAGUUUAACAGAUAAUUUUCCAAGAGAACAACCCAAAAUAAUAAAUAAAGUUUCAUUGAAAAGAUGCUGUUUGCCAGAUAAUUUACACAAGAGACAUGUUAGUACUGUAUCCACAAUAAAGUAAAAACAAGCAACUUAUGUACAGAUUUUGCACUUUAAAAUAGACAAAAAUAAAAUAAAUGCAAUGAAUUAAAGCUAAACUGCUCAGAACAGGACCCUAUAUGUUGCUAUAUUAAUUUAUGAUAAAUCAAGUCAGAGGAGAAAACUAAAUACAGGAGCAGAACAUAUGUAUACAGGCAACCAGGGAUUUGUUGGUGUAGAAAUUCUAAUUUGGAUGCUUUGAUCAGAUAAUGAUGGUAUUCUUCAUGAACAGAUAAAAAGUUGCAUUAAAAUCGAUUUAACGGUUCAUUUUUUUUAAAGCAAGUUUUUAAUAAAGAUAUGUUUUUAUAAUUAGUUUUUGCUUCAUACAUUUCUACACAUUCAGCUUUAAAAUGAGCCAAUCUUCCAACUAUUCAUCCCUUUUAGGGUCACAGGGCUGCCACAGGUUGGGCGAAGGCAGGGUACACCCUGGACUAGGUGAACUAAACUUCUUUUAGUUUUUAUGCAUGAAUCAUGUGUAAUUAAAGUAAUAUAAAAUUCUAAAAAAAAAUGGGACACAGAAGAGGCAUUGAGCAGGAUUGUUUAUCUUACCAUUUGGAUGCAGUUUAUGCAUUAUGUACUUUUAAUAAUGGUACAAAAAAGUAUGUAAAAAACGAGACAUUCUUAUUGCAUGUAACUAUGCUAAAGUAAACAAAUUCCUCUUAAUUCCUAGAAUUUUGAUUUUUUUUUUUUUUUACAUGAUUUCUAUUUAAAAGUCAAUUUAAUUCAAAUGUAAACAAACGUUGCCCUCCCAGGUCAAAGUAGCUGUUUUGUGUUUGGCCGCUAGAUGGUGCUGCCUCCGUGUCGGAAGAUAAAGUUACAACAGCGAAGAAGACUUUAACCGUUUGAAAUGUUUUUGUAAACAAGCUAGCUUCAGUGCAUCGUUAUUGAAGUAACUUAGAUGUAAUAUUUGGUUGUCUUUU